GUGCUCGCUUUGGCAGCACAUAUACUAAAAAAUUGGAACGAUACAGAGAAGAUUAGCAUGGCCCCUG
rnacentral:snRNA from 1 species